GUCUAUGGCCAUGCUAACCUGAACAAGCCCGAUCCCGUCUGAUCUCGGAAGCUAAGUAGGGUCGGGCCUGGUUAGUACUUGGAUGAGAGAUCACCUAGGAAGACCAAGUACUAUAGGCG
ensembl:rRNA 5S_rRNA 5S ribosomal RNA